CGUGCGAUACAGGGUGACAGCCCCGUACACAAAAAUGCACAUAUUGUGAGCUUGAUGAGUAGGGCGGGACACGUGGUAUCCUGUCUGAAUAUGGGGGGACCAUCCUCCAAGGCUAAAUACUCCUGACUGACCGAUAGUGAACCAGUACCGUGAGGGAAAGGCGAAAAGAACCCCGGCGAGGGGAGUGAAAAAGAACCUGAAACCGUGUACGUACAAGCAGUGGGAGCACGCUUAGGCGUGUGACUGCGUACCUUUUGUAUAAUGGGUCAGCGACUUAUAUUCUGUAGCAAGGUUAACCGAAUAGGGGAGCCGAAGGGAAACCGAGUCUUAACUGGGCGUUAAGUUGCAGGGUAUAGACCCGAAACCCGGUGAUCUAGCCAUGGGCAGGUUGAAGGUUGGGUAACACUAACUGGAGGACCGAACCGACUAAUGUUGAAAAAUUAGCGGAUGACUUGUGGCUGGGGGUGAAAGGCCAAUCAAACCGGGAGAUAGCUGGUUCUCCCCGAAAGCUAUUUAGGUAGCGCCUCGUGAAUUCAUCUCCGGGGGUAGAGCACUGUUUCGGCA
rnacentral:rRNA from 1 species